rnacentral:rRNA from 1 species
CCCUUAGACGUUCUGGGCCGCACGCGUGCUACACUGACCAGUGCAACAAGCAUCCGUCCUUGGCCGACAGGCCCGGGCAAUCUUUGAACGCUGGUCGUGAUGGGGAUAGACUUUUGCAAUUUUUGGUCUUCAACGAGGAAUUCCUAGUAAACGCAAGUCAUCAACUUGCAUUGAUUACGUCCCUGCCCUUUGUACACACCGCCCGUCGCACCUACCGAUUGAAUGGUCCGGUGAAGCCUCCGGAUUGGCGCGCACCCCGGUGCCGCCGAGAAGUUGGCUAAACCUUACCAUUUAGAGGAAGGUGAAGUCGUAACA